rnacentral:rRNA from 1 species
GACGAACGCUGGCGGCGUGCUUAACACAUGCAAGUCGAGCGGUAAGGCCCUUUCGGGGGUACACGAGCGGCGAACGGGUGAGUAACACGUGGGUGACCUGCCCCCAGCUCUGGGAUAAGCCUGGGAAACUGGGUCUAAUACCGGAUAUGACUCCAUGACGCAUGUUGUGGGGUGAAAGCCUUGUGCGGCUGAGGAUGGGCCCGCGGCCUAUCAGCUUGUUGGUGGGGUGAUGGCCUACCAAGGCGACGACGGGUAGCCGGCCUGAGAGGGCGACCGGCCACACUGGGACUGAGACACGGCCCAGACUCCUACGGGAGGCAGCAGUGGGGAAUCUUGCGCAAUGGGCGAAAGCCUGACGCAGCG